ACCCGCUGAACUUAAGCAUAUCAAUAAGCGGAGGAAAAGAAACUAACAAGGAUUCCCCUAGUAACGGCGAGUGAAGCGGGAACAGCUCAAAUUUGAAAUCUCACAGGGUUACCUGUGCGAAUUGUAGUUUAGAGAAGCGUUUUCGGGGGCGACUUGGGUAUAAGUCCUUUGGAAAAAGGCAUCAUAGAGGGUGAGAAUCCCGUUUAUGACCCAAUGUUCGCUCCUAUGUGAUACGUCUUCCAAGAGUCAGGUAGUUUGGGAUUGCUGCCUAAAAUGGGUGGUAAAUACCAUCUAAAGCUAAAUAUUGGCGAGAGACCGAUAGCGAACAAGUACCGUGAGGGAAAGAUGAAAAGAACUUUGAAAAGAGAGUUAAACAGUACGUGAAAUUGCCAAAAGGGAAACGCUUGGAACCAGUAUUGCUUACAGAUAAUCAGCCGCACGUCCCGAAAGGGGUGCGUGUGGUGCACUUGUCUGUGGGCAGGUCAACAUCAGUUUGGCUUGGGGUAAAAAGCCGGAGGAAGGUAGCUUGGACUUCGGUCUGAGUGUUAUAGCCUCCGGUAAUGCCCUGGGCUGGACUGAGGUCUGCAGUGUUAUUUGGAUUCC
rnacentral:rRNA from 1 species